GUGGAACAGGAAGUACCAGGAGUUCGACCUGGUGGUGAGCUCCGUCACCACUAAGGUGAAGGGCGUCGCUCAGACCCACCUGCCCGGGGUCGGGGAUGUGGUCUGGGACGUGGUGGACUACAGCGGGCCCUCACAGAGCAAAAACUCGUUUUUCGUGGUGACCAACGUCAUCGUGACGAAGAAUCAGAAGCAGGGGAGGUGUCCAGAGGUUCCCCUGAGAGGCAGAUUGUGUCGCUCUGAUAAAGACUGUGAGAGAGGCGGCUGGGAUCAGCAGAGUCACGG